GACAGAGGAGCCAAGCGUUGUCCGGAUUGACUGGGCGUAAAGCGCACGCAGGCGGUCGUGCACGUGGGGUGUGAAAACUGGCGGCUCAACGUGCCAGAGGCCACCUCAUACGGCGCGACUCGAGCCCGUGAGAGGUCCAUGGAAUUGCCGGUGUAGUGGUGAAAUGCGUAGAGAAUCGGCAGGAACAGCCCAGGGAGAAAUCAGUGGACUGGCACGGUGCUGACGCACAGGUGGCGAAAGCGUGGGAGCGAACGAGGACGUUAGA
rnacentral:rRNA from 1 species